ensembl:lncRNA
CAUCUGUUACAGAUUGAAAGAAAAUUCGUUUGAGAUCCAUGUGAAUUACUUGUUUUUCCCAAACUAUUUGCUCGUUAUAUAUUUAAAGGUCACAAGUAUACAUCUGUAACUUGCUGGGAAUUUAUUCACUGCUGGGACCAGUCAUCUAUAAAUAUCAACAUCAGUCUCUGUGAAAGAUGAAGCACUGACAAGGAUACAGACCACACCUCCACACUAGGCUACCAGCAGAAGCUUCCAGUUCACCUUUUUACACCUGUGCUCCAAAGCAAGGUUUACGUGGAUAAAGCAAUGGCACCCCACUCCAGUACUCUUGCCUGGAAAAUCCCAUGGACGGAGGAGCCUGGUGGGCUGCACUCCAUGGGGGCUCGAAGAGUCGGACACGACUGAGCAACUUCCCUUUCACUUUUCACUUUCAUGCAUUGGAGAAGGCAAUGGCAACCCACUCCAGUGUUCUUGCCUGGAGAAUCCCAGGGACGGGGGAGCCUGGUGGGCUGCCAUCUAUGGGGUCAUACAGAAUCAGACAUGACUAAAGUGACUUAGCAGCAGCAGCAGCAGCAAGGUUUAUGAGGUGGAGGAUGGGUGUGAUUAUAAAGUCUAAAUGGUUUUAUCUGUGAGAAGGUGGUUAAAUUCUAUUAUGGGCAUGCUUAGUCCUUACAAUUAGUUUUUGGUUGAUUUAUUUUUGGCUGGCUCCAUGGUGAUCAUUUUCAGUGAUGUGCUGGUAGAGCUGUUCCUUCAUGUAGAGAGAUUCUGAGCAGUUAAAGCACCUAGUCUACUACAAUGUGCUUUAUAUAUCAAGGGAUGAUAAAUGAUGGCAUUAAAAAUAUUUAACAAGAUAGUUGGCAUUUUAGUUAAGAAUGUCUGAAAUAGUAUAGUAUAGAUAAAGUUAACAUGAAAUUUCUAUAAUUGUAAUGAGAGAGAAAGAGGAGAGUUAGUUAACAUAAUUCACUUGGGAUUCCAUCUGGUUAGAAUUUUAGUUAUGUAAUUAUAAAACUAAUUUCUUGGAUUUGAAACAGAGACCAUACUUUUGGACGGUUUCUGGUGUGAUUUAAUCAUCAACACAUGUCCACUCAUAUUGUUCAAAUGAGACAGGGGAUUUCAAAUAUUUUUAACUACACUUAAAGUGGAUAAAUUGUGAUAGAAACGGUUGAGGCGAAUAGUUUCUGGGCUCAUUUGCAAUGAGGUCUAGAGUCUGAGUCCUGAGUAGGCAGUUCCUCAGAAAGUGAUUGUGGUAUAUGAUGCAUCACAGAAUGUGGCAUAAAAAUUUGGACUAUGGGUCAUUCCUCCCUACCAUUUUUACACCAUUCACUAGCUAUGUGACCUUGGGCACAUCGCUGAAAACUUCCUAAGCCUUAAUUUCCUAUCUAUAAAACACAGAAAAUAAUACUAUUGGACAGAAAUGUAUAAAAAAUUAAGUUAAAUAAUGUAUAUGAAUAUCCCUGUACACUGUAAUGUCAUCUUCAUAAAUGUAAAGUAUGAAUGCUUCUACUCAGUUUUUAGUUACAGGUUAUCUUCUUCAUGUACAGCCAACCAUUUACACGUAUCUAAUGUCUGCAUACUACUUUUUAAUACUUUUUUUGGCACCAACCAUCUGAAAGAUACUGUAUGGGGCCUUUGGGAUACCAAGAUCUA